GUGUAAGGGCCUGAUCCAAAGCAUGUUGAAGCCAGUGGGAGACUUUCCAUUGACUUCAGUGGGCUUUCGAUCAGGCCCUGAAAGC
rnacentral:pre_miRNA from 1 species